rnacentral:rRNA from 1 species
GAGUUUGAUCGUGGCUCAGAUUGAACGCUGGCGGCAGGCCUAACACAUGCAAGUCGAGCGGAUGACGGGAGCUUGCUCCUUGAUUCAGCGGCGGACGGGUGAGUAAUGCCUGGGAAUCUGCCUGGUAGUGGGGGACAACGUUUCGAAAGGAACGCUAAUACCGCAUACGUCCUACGGGAGAAAGCAGGGGACCUUCGGGCCUUGCGCUAUCAGAUGAGCCUAGGUCGGAUUAGCUAGUUGGUGGGGUAAUGGCUCACCAAGGCGACGAUCCGUAACUGGUCUGAGAGGAUGAUCAGUCACACUGGAACUGAGACACGGUCCAGACUCCUACGGGAGGCAGCAGUGGGGAAUAUUGGACAAUGGGCGAAAGCCUGAUCCAGCCAUGCCGCGUGUGUGAAGAAGGUCUUCGGAUUGUAAAGCACUUUAAGUUGGGAGGAAGGGCAGUAAGUUAAUACCUUGCUGUUUUGACGUUACCGACAGAAUAAGCACCGGCUAACUCUGUGCAGCAGCCG